AAAGGAAUUGACGGGGGCCCGCACAAGCAGUGGAUUAUGUGGUUUAAUUCGAAGCAACGCGAAGAACCUUACCAGGGCUUGACAUCCUCUUAAGGCUCCAGAGAUGGAGAGAUAUACAAGAGAGACAGGUGGUGCAUGGUUGUCGUCAGCUCGUGUCGUGAGAUGUUUGGUUAAGUCCAAUAACGAGCGCAACCCCUGUUGCUAGUUGCUAACAUUUAGUUGAGAACUCUAGCGAGACUGCCGUGGACAACACGGAGGAAGGAGGGGAUGACGUCAAAUCAUCAUGCCCCUUAUGUCCUGGGCUACACACGUAAUACAAUGGUAACGACAGAAGGAAGCAAUACCGCGAGGUGGAGCUAAUCCCCAAACGUUAUCCCAGUUCGGACUGCAGGCUGCAACUCGCCUGCACGAAGUCGGAAUUGCUAGUAAUGGCAGGUCAGCAUACUGUCGUGAAUACGUUCCCGGGCCUUGUACACACCGCCCGU
rnacentral:rRNA from 1 species